AACGAACGCUGGCGGCGUGGAUAAGACAUGCAAGUCGAACGGGACAGACCGAGUAGCAAUAUUUGGAAUGUUCAGUGGCGAACGGGUGCGUAACACGUGGAUAACAUUCCGGAAAGCGGGGAAUAGCCCAGGGAAACUUGGAUUAAUACCGCAUGUGGCCGCAAGGCUAAAGACGGGGACCGCAAGGCCUGUCACUUUCCGAUUGGUCAGCGGCCUGUCAGCUAGUUGGCGGGGUAAUGGCCCACCAAGGCUAAGACGGGUAGCUUGUGUUAGAGGACGACCAGCCUCACUGGAACUGAGACACGGUCCAGACACCUACGGGUGGCAGCAGUCGAGACUCUUUCACCAUGGGGGCAACACUGAUGGAGCGACGCCGCGUGGAGGAUAAGGUCUUCGGAUUGUAAACUCCUGUCAUGCGAGAACAAGGUACUCAGGCUAAUAACCUGAUUGUUUGAUGGUACCGCAAGAGGAAGAGACGGCUAACUCUGUGCCAGCCGCCGCGGUAAAAC
rnacentral:rRNA from 1 species